rnacentral:rRNA from 1 species
GACGAACGCUGGCGGCGUGCUUAACACAUGCAAGUCGAACGGAAAGGCCCUGCUUUUGUGGGGUGCUCGAGUGGCGAACGGGUGAGUAACACGUGAGUAACCUGCCCUUGACUUUGGGAUAACUUCAGGAAACUGGGGCUAAUACCGGAUAGGAGCUCCUGCUGCAUGGUGGGGGUUGGAAAGUUUCGGCGGUUGGGGAUGGACUCGCGGCUUAUCAGCUUGUUGGUGGGGUAGUGGCUUACCAAGGCUUUGACGGGUAGCCGGCCUGAGUGGGUGACCGGCCACAUUGGGACUGGGAUACGGCCCAGACUCCUACGGGAGGCAGCAGUGGGGAAUAUUGCACAAUGGGCGGAAGCCUGAUGCAGCAACGCCGCGUGCGGGAUGACGGCCUUCGGGUGGUAAACCGCUUUCGCCUGUGACGAAGCGUGAGUGACGGUAAUGGGUAAAGAAGCACCGGCUAACUACGUG